rnacentral:tRNA from 1 species
GGGCGAAUGGCUCAGGUGGUUAGAGCGCUUGCCUUACAAGCAAGAGGUCACAGGUUCAAGUCCUGUUUCGCCCACUA